rnacentral:lncRNA from 12 species
AUGAAAGAAUCAGUGAAGAGGAGAAGAGUGGAAGUCAGAGAUGAUGCCUCAUGCCCACAAUCAUACAUGGACAGAACUGGAGCUGACUGUGUUCACCAGAUGAAUAAAGCAGAACAUGGAUUUGAAAAGAAUUCCUCCAAAGCAAAUGAGCUUGAGUUUAGCCCAGCAUCCCUUACUAAAGACUGUGACCAGCUGAAUUUCUGGGAACCUGUGAAAUUUGGCCUUGAGCAAAAAAGAGUAGCCAGUCAGGCUGAGGGUGCAGUGCAGCUGCUGCAGCAAAUGGACCAAACAGGAAAGAAGGGAAACAUGAAGUCAGAAGGAAGAGGUCUUUCACACUUCUGGAGAAGCAUCAUCUUUUCACCACUCCAACAUCUUUUUGGUGGAAAAAACUGACCUGGAAGUACUAAUUGUUGUGGAAAGGUAGAUUUAUAGUAUGAAUAUUGUGUUGCACUGUUUCUUCUGUAAUUCAGCUUCUUACAUUGCUUGUCUCAGCUAUUAAAUGCUUUAAAUUAAAUUUUAAUUUGUUUAUGUUUUCAAAGUAACAUUCUGAAGAUGUUGGGUUACAACAUGUUGGGUUUUUCUUCACAUCUUAGAGGUUUUGGAAUUGAGCAAGAAAUUUUAAGAUUUUGAUCCUUAAGUGUCAUAAAUUGUGAAUUUCACAUUAUGUGUAUUCUAAUAAAAC